rnacentral:rRNA from 1 species
UACGUAGGGUGCAAGCGUUGUCCGGAAUUAUUGGGCGUAAGAGCUCGUAGGCGGUUUGUCGCGUCUGCUGUGAAAACUCGGGGCUUAACUCCGGGCCUGCAGUGGGUACGGGCAGACUAGAGUGCGGUAGGGGAGACUGGAAUUCCUGGUGUAGCGGUGAAAUGCGCAGAGUAUCAGGAGGAACACCGGUGGCGAAGGCGGGUCUCUGGGCCGUAACGACGCUGAGGAGCGAAAGCGUGGGGAGCGAACAGG